CUCGAACGCCCCGGCAAGCGCUUUCACUUUGCUCCCCCUCGCCGCCAGCUUGUCGGCUGUCUCCUCCUCUAUGACAGCGUUGUGAGCCGGUGCCGUCUCCUUCCUCCAGCUCACCGCCGCCUGCCUCUUCGACUCCAUGGUUUCGUGCCUCAUUGCCUCUGACGACGUCCAUCAACUUCUCUUCUUCGGGUUUGACUGCAGCGGCGGUGGAAGACAUGACUUUUGGAAGGAUUCUGGCGGUCUUCACGAGCGGAACAGCCUUCCCGCCUGCCGGAGUUUUCGAAGCUUUCGCCAAGCUUCGUUUUCGAGCCAUGUUUGCCAUCGUUGACGGCCCACUUCUCGCUGCUCUCUCCUUUGGGCGGUUUGCUGUGGGAGGUCGUUGAGGUAGGGAAGACGGUGAGUGAGACACGUUCAUUUGGCUUCCACGUUUUGCAGCAGCACCAGCUGCUGAUGAAGAUAUCUUGGGCUGUUGGGAGCUGGUGCCAUGGCACGAGCUAAUGGUUGGCUUAAGAUAGUUCGGUGUGGGUUUCUCAGGGAUCGUAGGAAGCAAAAACCUUUGGUAGUAAACUUUGAUGGUGUCUCUCCCGUUGGCAUUGUUGUUCUUAGGUUGGGCACUCAAAAUUCUCUUCUUCUGUUGCACUCCUUCGACCUUAGCUGUAGCCAUUAGCAACUGCAAAAUACCAACAUGCAAAUCGCAGAAAAGACUAGUAGUUUGAGCAAUCACAAUGAAACAAGGCAUGGAAUCGAAGCGAAGAAGGUGCAGGAAAUCGAGAGCUUUGAAACGAAGGCAUGAACAUUGUGGUAGUUCAAUACCUAAUUCAUUACAAGUCACGACGUUGAUCUCAUGAUAGAUACCCUUGGGCAGAAGAGAUAAGAGAGAGGCAUUGAAGACGAUGGCUGCCUUCUCUUGUUUUCAGCCCAUUUCUGAACGCGAACAAGCAGAAGAAGAGACGAGGACAGAUCAUUCUUGGGGAGUCUGUCUGAUUGGCAUCGUUAAUGUUAGUACGUUCUAGAUAAUUGACCAGGUCAAACAAAGGAAGUAGAAUCCCUGGAAAUGAGCUUCAUCUUGAUAGCUGGACCUGCACAAACGUGAACUCAUUCCUCGAAGCACCACCACCAUACGGUACAAGUCACCAUUUGCUGUCGAGAUUCAUCGAGGACCGGCAUAUGAGACAAGAAGACAUGGAGACUCGUGCAGAGUCUGCAGACCUCAGCGUUGACAGAGGAAGCUGAGAGAACAGGAGAGUGAAGACAUCACGGAAGAGAGUGCUUUCGUGGCCAAUCCUCUCGAGCUUGGGGGAUCACUUUGGCUUAUGAAAUGUAGACAACAGCUUUUAAUGUAAAUUAAGAUGAGGAGAAAAAGAUUCCAAUUUAUUGCA